rnacentral:rRNA from 1 species
CCUACGGGGUGCAGCAGUGAGGAAUAUUGGUCAAUGGACGCAAGUCUGAACCAGCCAUGCCGCGUGCAGGAAGACGGCUCUAUGAGUUGUAAACUGCUUUUGUACGAGGGUAAACGCAGAUACGCGUAUCUGUUUGAAAGUAUCGUACGAAUAAUGAUCGGCUAACUCCGUGCCAGCAGCCGCGGUAAUACGGAGGAUUCAAGCGUUAUCCGGAUUUAUUGGGUUUAAAGGGUGCGUAGGUGGUCGGAUAAGUUAGAGGUGAAAUCCCGAGGCUCAACUUCGGAAUUGCUUCUGAUACUGUUCGUCUAGAGAGUAGUUGCGGUAGGCGGAAUGUAUGGUGUAGCGGUGAAAUGCUUAGAGAUCAUACAGAACACCGAUUGCGAAGGCAGCUUACCAAGCUACUUCUGACGUUGAGGCACGAAAGCGUGGGGAGCAAACAGGAUUAGAUACCCCUGUAGUC